ensembl:lncRNA
CCCAAAAGAAUUUUAUGGACCUCAAAAGGAUUUUAUGGAUCCCCCAAAGUGUUCCAGAGACCCCAAAAGGAUUUUAUGGAUCCCCCAAAAGGAUUUUAUGGACUCCAAAGGAUUUUGUGGACCCCAAAAGGAUUUUAUGGACUCCAAAGGAUUUUAAGGACCCCAAAAAGGAUUUUAAGGACCCCAAAAAGUUCUCCGGCCCCGAUGGAUUCUAUGGCCCCAAAGGGUUCGACAACCCCACAGCUCGAAGGUCACCGGGGUUUUAUGGCCCUGGGGUUUUAUGGCCCCGAGGUUUUAUGGCCCCCGGGGUUUUAUGGCCCCCGAGGUUUUAUGGCCCCGGGAUUUACACCCCGAUGCGUGAAAGUGCCUCCAUAAAGAUUUGGGAACUUUUAUGGCCUCGGUGCCUUCCUGGGACAGCGAGGGCGGGGUGGGAGCGGGGCGGGGGGAGAGAAAUGGGGGCGGUUCUGGGACCCCCAGGGACCCCCCUGAUCCUAUGGGACCCCCCUGAUCCUAUGGGACCCCCAGGG